rnacentral:sRNA from 1 species
AAAAAUCAAUAAUUAAAAGUUAGUGGCAGCCAUUGUAAAUAAGUUCCAACUCAAGAAUUUAUUUUACAAAAUGGCUGCAAAAAUGUAUAUAUAGAUAAUAAUAAAAUAGCAUUGAUCAUCGGGGUUUGAGUAAUUUAACAUAAUUUCUUCGGAUUCAGGAUUAGUAUUUGGGCCUAGGAAAUCUUUAGAAUCACCUA